UAAGUUAAUUUAGCAGUUACCUUUAAAAUAAAGGAGGAAAGUCUGGACUCCAAAGAGCAGAGUGCCAGGUAAUACCUGGGGUUAAAUUACGAAAAGUUCAACAGAAAAUAAACCUCUUAUAAAAUAUUAUAAGUGGGUGAAAUAGUGUACUAAAAUUACACAUCAUUAUUGGUAACAAUUAAUGAUAUGAAAACUCCACUCGGAGCAAAGUUAAAUAAAGGUUUUAUUGCUCAUAUUAAACCUGGGUUAACCGCUUGAACUAAUAAGUAAUUAUUAGUCUAGAUAAAUUACUGCUCAUGACAGAAUCCAGCUUAUUAAUUAACUUUUAUU
rnacentral:RNase_P_RNA from 6 species